rnacentral:rRNA from 1 species
AACGAACGCUGGCGGCAGGCUUAACACAUGCAAGUCGAGCGCCCCGCAAGGGGAGCGGCAGACGGGUGAGUAACACGUGGGAAUCUGCCCAUCCCUACGGAACAACUCCGGGAAACUGGAGCUAAUACCGUGUACGCCCUUCGGGGGAAAGAUUUAUCGGGGAUGGAUGAGCCCGCGUCGGAUUAGCUAGUUGGUGGGGUAAAGGCCUACCAAGGCGACGAUCCGUAGCUGGUCUGAGAGGAUGAUCAGCCACACUGGGACUGAGACACGGCCCAGACUCCUACGGGAGGCAGCAGUGGGGAAUAUUGGACAAUGGGCGCAAGCCUGAUCCAGCCAUGCCGCGUGAGUGAUGAAGGCCUUAGGGUUGUAAAGCUCUUUCGCCAGGGACGAUAAUGACGGUACCUGGAUAAGAAGCCCCGGCUAACUUCGUGCCAGCAGCCGCGGUAAUAC